rnacentral:rRNA from 1 species
UUUAUGCACGUGGUAGGAGAGCGUUCUAGCGGCGGUGAAGCAUGACCGAGAGGACAUGUGGAGCUUCUAGAAGUGAGAAUGCCGGUAUGAGUAACGAAAGACAGGUGAGAAUCCUGUCCGCCGCAAGACUAAGGUUUCCUGGGGCAGGCUCGUCCGCCCAGGGUAAGUCGGGACCUAAGGCGAGGCCGAGAGGCGUAGUCGAUGGACAACAGGUUGAAAUUCCUGUACUGCACCGAAUCGUUAUGAGCGAUGGAGGGACGCAGGAGGCUAGCAGCGCGUGGUGCUGGAUACCACGUUCAAGCGUCAAGUCUGAGAGCGAGUCAAAUGCUUGCUCUCAUAAGGACAAGGCGUGAUGAGGAGCGAAAUUAAAGUAGCGAAGGCUGCGACGUCACACUGCCGAGAAAAGCUUCUAGCCAGAGACGGUGCACCCGUACCGCAAACCGACACAGGUAGUCGAGGAGAGUAUCCUCAGGUGAGCGAGAGAACUCUCGUUAAGGAACUCGGCAAAAUGGCCCCGUAACUUCGGGAGAAGGGGCGCUGGUCGCAAGAUCAGCCGCAGUGAAAAGGCCCAAGCAACUGUUUAUCAAAAACACAGGCAUCUGCAAAAUCGUAAGAUGAAGUAUAGGUGCUGACACCUGCCCGGUGCUGGAAGGUUAAGAGGAGAGCUUAGCGCAAGCGAAGGUUUGAAUUGAAGCCCCAGUAAACGGCGGCCGUAACUAUAACGGUCCUAAGGUAGCGAAAUUCCUUGUCGGGUAAGUUCCGACCUGCACGAAAGGUGUAAUGAUUUGGGCACUGUCUCAACGAGAGACUCGGUGAAAUUAUAAUACCCGUGAAGAUGCGGGUUACCCGCGACAGGACGGAAAGACCCCAUGGAGCUUUACUGCAGUUUAAUAUUGGGUAUCUGUCAAGCAUGUACAGGAUAGGUAGGAGCCGGAGAAGAUAGGACGCCAGUCUUAUCUGAGGCGCUGUUGGGAUACUACCCUUGCUUGACGGAUGCUCUAACUCAGGCCUGUGAUCCAGGCCGAGGACAGUGUUUGACGGGCAGUUUGACUGGGGCGGUCGCCUCCUAAAGUGUAACGGAGGCGCCCAAAGGUUCCCUCAGAAUGGUUGGAAAUCAUUCGCAGAGUGUAAAGGUAAAAGGGAGCUUGACUGCGAGAGAGACAACUCGAGCAGGUACGAAAGUAGGGCUUAGUGAUCUGGUGGUACCGUAUGGAAGGGCCAUCACUCAACGGAUAAAAGCUACCCUGGGGAUAACAGGCUUAUCUCCCCCAAGAGUUCACAUCGACGGGGAGGUUUGGCACCUCGAUGUCGGCUCGUCGCAUCCUGGGGCUGAAGUCGGUCCCAAGGGUUGGGCUGUUCGCCCAUUAAAGCGGCACGCGAGCUGGGUUCAGAACGUCGUGAGACAGUUCGGUCCCUAUCCGUCGUGGGCGUAGGAAAUUUGAGAGGAGCUGUCCUUAGUACGAGAGGACCGGGAUGGACGCACCGCUGGUGUACCAGUUGUCUUGCCAAAGGCAUCGCUGGGUAGCUAUGUGCGGACGGGAUAAGCGCUGAAAGCAUCUAAGUGCGAAGCCCCCCUCAAGAUGAGAUUUCCCAUUUCUUCAAGAAAGUAAGACACCUCAGAGACGAUGAGGUAGAUAGGCCGGGAG